CGGAAUCCCUCCUCCCGUCGUCGCUGUGAUUCUCUUCUCUCUAGAGAAAUCGAGGGCGAGGAUCUGCGUUUGUCACCAUGAGGGCGAAGUGGAAGAAGAAACGUAUGAGGAGGCUGAAGAGAAAGCGCAGAAAGAUGAGGCAGAGAUCCAAGUAGAAGUCCAGUCUGUGGCUUUUGGUCUGCAACAGCCUUCCGCUUUUACUGAGUUGUAGCGUCGGUAUCUAAGACUCUUUGAGAACUCAUCGUCCCUGUGCUGUGUGCUCUAUGUAUGGAUCCUCUGCAGUCGUCUCGUAUAUAUUGUCAUUGUUUCAUUCGUGCAACUAA